GUUUCUCUUAGUGCUCUGGAUCGGCUCUGUAGCGACAAGAUGAAGGCGACUACUUCAACAUUCUCAAGCUUGCAGCCUGUGAUGAAGAGGACAGAGCCUGCACAGAUCUGCAGACAAGCCCACGAAACGCGAACCUGAUCCAUGGGCCCAAUGGAAGACUGCAUCUGUGACGUUGAUUCAAGCUCAGGUGUGGACGCCAUAGCUCGGUGUGAUUCUCCAGCUUCAUGCCAUAGUCAAAAAGCUCCUCGUCAUAGCGAAGCUUUCUUAGUAACACUGUGAGAAUCUACAGAGACUUUGCUCAGUUUGCUUCAAUGAGAGACUAAGAAGCAAACGAAGCUGGUCAAUAGGCGGAUCUGUCCGCAGCCUGAGCAGGGCCCAGGGUUCGAGCGGUGGCUUGUAGCCUUGUACAGCUGAGCGAAACGAGGAGAGAGCACAGCAUCAUACCAAAACUUGCAGACAGCCCGCAUUGUGAACAACUCUGGAAGUUCCACAAAGCUGAAGACGUGCCAGAGCACAAGUGAUGGUCCGUGAUGCGCUCCAGAUUGCCGCAGCGAGCAGGGCAGUUAUUGAAAGUGUUCAAGACAAAAACCAACAAACUUUUAUUUAUGGUUAUUCAUUUUCAAGUCAUUCUGAAUCA